CGGGGUGUAGCGCAGCCUGGUAGCGCACUUGCUUUGGGAGCAAGGUGUCGGGGGUUCGAAUCCCUCCACCCCGACCA
rnacentral:tRNA from 2 species